rnacentral:rRNA from 1 species
ACUGAAUAGAUACCCGGGUAGUCCACGCCCUAAACGAUGUCUACUAGUUGUCGGGUUUUAAUUAACUUGGUAACGCAGCUAAACGCGUGAAAGUAGACCGCCUGGGGAGUACGGUCGCAAGAUUAAAACUCAAAGGAAUUGACGGGGACCCGCACAAGCGGUGGAUGAUGUGGAUUAAUUCGAUGCAACGCGAAAAACCUUACCUACCCUUGACAUGUACGGAAGCCACGAGAGAUCGAGGUGUGCUCGAAAGAGAGCCGUAACACAGGUGCUGCAUGGCUGUCGUCAGCUCGUGUCGUGAGAUGUUGGGUUAAGUCCCGCAACGAGCGCAACCCUUGUCAUUAGUUGCUACGAAAGGGCACUCUAAUGAGACUGCCGGUGACAAACCGGA